rnacentral:misc_RNA from 1 species
GCAGCUCAAGAGGGCAUCUCUUCAUGCCUUGGUCUUCACCGCCGUGCCCCUCCCGUCACUCGCAUCGACUUACUGAAGCGACGCGCUUGCUUUCAAAAUAGCGAUACCUUUAUGCGUCUGCUUGCAGGUAACAUCCCCACUAUCCACUCGUGAGCUCGCCCGGAGACUCACGUCUUCUUUUCGGCGUAUCUCCCGAGCCCGUCCCCGUCAGACGUUGUGCCGUAGUAGACUUUAGCCUCCCUCCCUCUCUCUUUACCCUUGUGUAGUGGAUGUAGCGUCGCGUAUACGUAGAGGCAGUAGUAGUCGUCUCUCCCACCCCCUCCCUCUCUGGCUGCCCCCCCCCUUUCCGCUUUCGCCACUGUGUGCGAGCUUGCCUCUCCCCUCCCCUUCCCCCCUCUCUCUCUUGCGUUGUUCGUAGUCGCACGAAGACCAUGCGCAGUUCACGUCAUCUGUGUGGCCUGCCCACUGUCCGGACUGUCGCGGCAACGGGCUGGCGCUACCACCGUCACGGGGCACCGGAGAAGGUGCUACAGUAUGAACGGUAUCGUGUCCCCUUCGACCGCACGAGUGGGCAGGUGGUGGUGAAGAUGUUAGCGGCGCCAGUCCACCGGCAUGACAAGAAUCUUAUCGAAGGUCACGGGGGCCCGAUAGCGGUGCCCAAGGCGUGUCUGCCACACGUCGCCGGUGUCGAGGGCGUCGGCGUGGUCGAGGAGGUCGGCUCCAACACGAAGCUAGCGCUGAAGGAGGGGGACAUGGUGUGGAUCAACAACCCCUCCGUUGGCAGCUGGGCGACGCACAUCGUCACGGAUGCCGAGAACCUCGAUGUCGUGCCUUGCCGCGCGGAUGUCGAUAUUGAGUACCUCGCCUCGCUGUCACUGUUCCACACGGCGUACCAUCUCACACACGACUUCGUGAACAUCCAGCCGAACGACGUCGUGCUGCAGACCGGCGCCUCCUCGUCCAUCGCGCAGAUCUGCCAAGGCUACCUGCGCGCCAAGGGUGCGAAGCUCUUCCAGACGAUGCAGCUGGGCCGCACAGAGCACGCCCACCUGCUGGCCUUCUUCAAACUGCGCGGUGCCUUCGCGGUCGUGCCAUACAACUACGCCCGGACGAACUACAUGCGCCGCCUUCUCUCCGACGUGCCGCCGCCGAAGCUGCUGCUGAACCACACCUGUGGUGGGUACGCCUCGAACCUCGUCAACCUGCUCGGCGACAACGGCGUCUGCGUCACGUACGGCAACACGAGUCAUCAGCCGAUGCAGAUCUCCAACAUGGACGCGAUCGCGCGCGGCGUUCAGUUAAAGGGCUUCUUUCUGCCGAGCUGGAUUCAGCGGCACACGCGCGAAGCUCGCAUGCGGGUGCACCAGAACGUGGUGGAGAGCAUGACCAUCACGCAGGGUCACGGCAUCUUUCGCGCACAGCGGUUCAAGAUGGACGGCGACUCGGCGUUCGCCUUCAGCAACGCCUGGGACGCCCCGCUCGCCUCGCGCAAAGCAGUGUUGCGCAUAGUCGGCGAGUACGGUGAGUGGCGUCGCCCGCGCUCUGACCAGGCGGGGUGGAACAUCGGGCGCGCCGUCUGGGAGGACAUGCUGCAGCAGAUGUGGGAGUCCGCCGGCACGACGGAGAACCCGCAGUCGAUGAAGUACUACACGCCCUUUGACGACAUCCACUCGUCCUUCUACGACGCGAAGCAGUCGAAAGAGUUGGGGCACCGCGACGUGUUCUUCCGUCGUCCCAACGCACCGCGCCACAACGCCGCCGAGCAGCAGCAGCAGUAGUCGUAGCUGAUGGCAACACGCCACAUGCAUGCGUGUGUUCGCGGAAUGGGGAGAGCGCAGCACACUACUGCUCCACCUCACAAAACAGGAAGAGGUGAACCACGCACAAGGCGAUGCACGAUUUGCCGCUUGCGUGGCUCUGCCGCUCCUAGUGUGUCCUUCUCUUGUUGAUGGCAGCCCGAGAAGCCGAAUGGUGUGUUGGCGAUGGCACUGCACCCUGAGAGCGGGGGGGGGGGGGCAACGUUGGUGAGCGUUGUCGUCGCCCUUGCGACCUCUCGUGCUCGUCUUCGCUGUCGCUCUCCUUCUCCCUCCCUGAAUGUGUGUGAUGAUUGCCUGAGCGGCGGACGAGUCCGUGCAAUCGGCAGCCCCUACCACCAUCAACCCUCUUUCCGCGUCGUACAGCGCAGAAACGGAUGAAAGCAGGGGCGCGCGCCGGGGCAGAACCGUCGCGGAGCUUCCCGGCCGAAGGAGGGCGUGUUUCUACUCGUAUUCAGCGUGUCGGCCUUUGUGCGCGUGCGGCUAUUCUUAUCUCUCCCCACUCCACCCCGCUGUUGUUGGUGUUGGUGUUUUGCGAGCACCGGCGUGGGAAGGGACGGCUGGAAGCCAACGGCCACAACG